rnacentral:rRNA from 1 species
UGGGAAUUGUUCGCAAUGGGCGCAAGCCUGACGACGCAACGCCGCGUGGAGGAUGAAGAUCUUCGGGUCGUAAACUCCUGUCGAGCGGGACGAAUGGUCCGCGACCUAAUACGUCGUGGAAGUGACGGUACCGCUAGAGGAAGCCCCGGCUAACUCCGUGCCAGCAGCCGCGGUAAUACGGGGGGGCUAGCGUUGUUCGGAAUUACUGGGCGUAAAGGGCUCGUAGGUGGCCAACUAAGUCAUGCGUGAAAUCCCUCGGCUUAACCGGGGAACUGCGUCUGAUACUGGAUGGCUUGAAUCCGGGAGAGGGAUGCGGAAUUCCAGGUGUAGCGGUGAAAUGCGUAGAUAUCUGGAGGAACACCGGUGGCGAAGGCGGCAUCCUGGACCGGCAUUGACACUGAGGAGCGAAAGCCAGGGGAGCAAACGGGAUUAGAUACCCCGGUAGUCCUGGCCCUAAACGAUGAAUGCUUGGUGUGACGGGUAUCGAUCCCUGUCGUGCCGAAGCUAACG